rnacentral:lncRNA from 1 species
UUUGGGCUUUUUUUUAGGGUGGUUCGGGUGCCUGACAUGUACGGGAGAAGCUUUUUCCAGCAUUACCAUCUAUAAUAAAAAAUAAAAAAAUAUAACAGAAAUGCGUUUUUUUUUAUUAACUAGCCUAGUAAGUAACAAAUCAAGUUUCAAUAUUAAAGUUAAUCUCUGUUGGUCAACUAAAACUUUCCUUUUCUCCUGUGACCUGUACUGCUUCAACACACGUUCUUGACUUAUGUAUAUAUAUAUAUACGUGUGGUCUAGCGGGACGGCUGCAGUGCAGGCGAUUUGGUGUCACGAUAUCACAGUAGCAUGGGUCGAAUCCCGGCGAGGGACAAAAAAUUUGCAAAGCAAAUUUACAGAUCUAACAUUGUUGGGUUGAUGUUUAGACGAGUUAUAUAUAUAUAUAUAUAUAUAUGUAUGUCCAACAUCAAGUUAUAAGCUUCUAUAAGACGAGCAUCAAUAAGAAUAUAUCUAUUAUACAUAAUCAUUAACCAUAAGAAUAGGUACAGAGAAAAAUAGACCAACAUUGUUACUUAACCGGAUUUUUGACGUUCUAAUGUCACAAGUGAUCACAAGUUAUCUGUAAACAUUCCGCUGGAAGACCUAUCUGAACACAUUAUUCUGAUGGAAGACCUUUACUUGGACACAUUAUUCUAUCAUUUUUUAAGUCAUUGGUUUGACCUACCGCGGUUCGAACCCACGACCUACCGCACUAGAAUCAAUGGAACACGCUUGCAUACAACCAGACAAUGCUGAUCAUAAACAGAAAAAGAAACACGAAAAAAAUUAUUUUCAAACAAUACCAAAAAUAUAUCAUUCCUACUUUACUCAAAGAUAAAUAAAAAUCAAGAAUUGCCUUAUACCUUUUUAAGACUUCCAUAGAAAAGGCGCUUCAUGAUUUUGUUUAAAUUAAUUAUGAAUAAUUAUUAUAUUUUUGGCCAAUGAAUUAUUUUACUGUAAAGAUUAAUAACUAUAAUCGAUUUAAAAAUAAACCAAGGAAAGUAUUAAGCCAGCAUAUUUAUAGGGGUGUUUUUAUACUCAUGAGUUACCUUUUUCAUAUUUUUUCUCUUUAAAAUACCCAUCUUCAACCAGUUUUGUAACGACAUUAAGAUUUGUUUAAUUUUUUUUAUUUUGAUUUGUAUUCGGAACACUUAUUUUUUUUACUUCAUCGAUUCGCUAUGGUAAAAGCUGCAAUCGCUGCUGCAGAUUGAACAUAUUGGAUGUAGUAGUGUGCUGGUAGAUAAUUUGAAACGCGAAACUUGCAUAUUGAUAAUGUAAAAUCUAUAAUUAAAAAAAAUGACACUUUAAAAGUUUGGUCGUCGUUUCAAAAGUGAGGCAUUUGCCUCAUUUGCCUCCAUUACGCUACGGCCCUGGUCUGACUUGUAAACUUGACAGCUACCAGUGGUGACGAUACGUGCAUAUCACGAAAAGGAUCUGACAUCAAAGCCCUUCUUUUACCUCUUCUCUUUUAUUGUGUAACUGAAUUGAAAUUUAUUCCUUAUGGAAACCAUGUUGGUGCCUGUGAUUCAGCACGCCAUUUUCUUUGAACCAAAACAACCCUUGUCAUGAGUUUUGCUAUCCCCGAAUUGAACAUACUUUUGUUAUAACUAUCAGCACUUAACAUCUAUACUGUACAGUAUAAAAGUAUAGUUAGUGUUACUAGUGGACUAAUUUUACUAAUAGAUCUCCACUAAUAGUGGCUAAUAUUGCAG